rnacentral:rRNA from 1 species
UACGAAGGGGCUAGCGUUGUUCGGAAUUACUGGGCGUAAAGCGCGCGCAGGCGGCUAUCCAAGUCAGUGGUGAAAGCCCGGAGCUCAACUCCGGAACUGCCAUUGAAACUGUUUAGCUUGAGGACGAGAGAGGUGAGUGGAAUUCCCAGUGUAGAGGUGAAAUUCGUAGAUAUUGGGAAGAACACCGGUGGCGAAGGCGGCUCACUGGCUCGUAUCUGACGCUCAGGCGCGACAGCGUGGGGAUCAAACAGG